AAUUAGGUGGCAAAAAAAAAACGUGUAACACCUACAAAGUUGGUGGAUUCAAAAUUUCUUCGCUAAAUACACGUAAAUUAUAUCUUCGUAAAUAGCACGCGAAGUUUACGUCGUAUUUACGAGGAAAUAGUAUUUCCUCGUAAAAGACACGUCAAAUUACAUCGACUUUACGACGAAACGCUUUUGUCGUUACUUUACGAGGAAAUAACGAUGAAAUUAGUUUUCCACGUAAGUUUCUCGUAAAAUCGACGUAAAUUUACGAAGAUUUUUUUUUCUCGUUAACUUUCCUCUUUAAGCAUGUGUUUUUUUGUAGUGCAUCAGUCCUGUCAUAAAAAGACACUUCACAAUUUUGCUGGAAAAUACGAAGUCUCAACCACAUCAGACCUGCCAAAAUAAAAGUCACUGAAGCCCCGCUGGAAAAAUACGAAGCUACAACCACAGCAGACCCGCCAAAAUUGUGGCUAUAUGUUUUUUGCUCUGUUUUUUAUUUAUUUUAUAAUUGUAUCCAUAUUUUUUUGCUCUAUUUAUUUAUUUUAUGAUUGUGGUUAAAUAUUCUUUGCUCUACUUCUAUUUUGAGAUUUAAAGUGUGAAUUAUAUAUAUAUAUAUAUAUAUUUAAAUUUAUAGAAUUAUAUAUAUAUGUUGUAUCUGUAAACUUUUAGUUUUGCAGUUUCUUGUCCUGGAUUAUGUCCAUGUAUCCCUAGGUGCAACGUAGACGCCAAUAGAAUACGGCCCGAUGAUCCCCUUUAGCCUAAGGAAAAUACACCAAAAAGGAAUACACCAUCAAGAAAGAAAAGAUAUCACAAAAAUAAACGACACAAAUACUCUAUGCAUACCCGCAUGUGUUUUCAAGAAAAUGUUUGUGUCGUAGAAGCAAUCAUGGAGAGUCAAGAAAGAAUAUAUGGAUAUGAUCCUUUUCCUUGGUACAUUUACAUCUGCGUCCGUUAUGUUUUUCUCAGGGAAAAUUUAUGAGUUAGAUACUUAGAUGCAGGAACUGAUCACAAGGAGUUUUGACUGGAGGAUGGCCAUUAGCUGUGUGGAAAAAUGCAGAAAGGUAAUAGUUGAAACAACUGGCCUGCUUGAUUCAGUGCUAUUACUAAGUCUAUAGAUUUGAGGUCCUCUUUUUAUCAGCCUGGUAUCUCUGAAAGUGAGAUAGCUGAUGCAGUGCAAAAGCCAUUAGUACGUGGGUAAUGGUGCUAAUGCGAAGGAGACACCACAAUAGUACUGAAGAAAGUAAACCGAGAGACAAAACACUACAAGCAAACACUUAUGCUCUAUUAGAAACUCUUUUAAACAAUCUAUUACAAGAUCUGCUUAAUUCAACUUUUACACGUCUAGUGUUAACACCCUAACACACGCUACCGAAAAAUUCUUAAGCUACACGACUUAUGUCUCUCUUCCGUCAAGUACUUCAGCAACUACUUUGGCACGACCAAGACCACACUAAAGAGCUUUUCUCUCUCAAUAAAAUCAGCCUCUGUGUAUGUGUCUAUGCCGACGACCCUCAGAGCUAUUUUAUCAUUAACUCCACGUUCUUCAAUGCCUAUUUUCCAAGAUACUCCAUUGCUCUUCAAGUAUCCACGACUCCUGCUCAGCAUCUUGACUCCACAUGGUCUUCACCACUCAACAUAUCGUCUGCGUCAGCAACUACUUCAGGGCAGACAUCUUGCAUCUUCAAUCUCCCCCCUUUUAGCUUUGUGUGCCGAUCAAGCACAACAUGUUUCUGGUUCAAUAACCACAUUCCUCACCUGGAAAGUUCCACACCAAAUGUACUUUCUCCCCCACGAUAUGUGCACUUCACCAUGCUUUUCUCCCCCAUGAGAUAUGCAUUCUUUGGAGGAACGUCACCAUUCUCCCCCUGCUUGAUUGCAUACUAAGCUAAAAUAUAUGCUUAGAUGUCAAGACUUACAGAAACACCCAUCUGCUUCAUCAUGCGUAAUCAUGAUACAGCCCCUGCUGCAGCGGAAUAGAUGACAAGUCAUGCAUCAUGAUCUGACGCACCUGUUGAACUACCCUUCGACCAGCUUUUGUUGAGGACCUGGCUUCCUUCAUGUGUCGUCUUCUUGACCAUGAGCCUCUCCUCAUCUACACCGAGUGCACUAUGCACUCGUUGCUAUUGUCUUUGAGUGAAUUCACUAUCACCCUCCUGAUGAUCACCUCGCAUCACUUCAUGACGCACUUUGAUCUCUUUCCCCUCUGUACCACAAACAACUCUGUGUCCUAGCUCCAGACUUGAUGCUUCAUGAACCUUAAGAUCACGCCUACCAGAGAUGCAUCCUUCUUCUGAUGUCUCAUCCUUGAUCUCAUCAAGUAAGCCACUCUUGGCUAAGAACACCUCUUCAACCCUCUUGGGUUUAAUGACCGUCUUGUUCACCUUCUUGGCCAUAUUUCUGCUCUUCUCACGAGCAAAACACUCCAUCUUCUUGUGUCCAACCUUCCCAAAGAACCAACAGCACAUCCGAUGUUGCUUCUUGUUUGCCUGACACAGUUGUUGAUGCACCGACCGGUCUCCUACCUUGUACCAGAUGCACAACCAUGCUUCAGAACCUCCUGUCUGACCUUCAUGUUGGUGCACUAAUGUACAACCUUCGGCUUGUCAUAGCUACGCGCUGUAAAACUUCUUGCCGUACUCUUUGUCACACGUCCCGACAUACUUCCUGACAAGCUUCUUUGGCCCCACUUUUUUAUGUUCCCCUUUGAUCAACCAACUUGAAACAAUUACGUCGAACAUGUCCUUGAACUCCACAAGAGUAACAUGUUUGACCAUGAGUCCUCAUAUCAUAUAUUCUCUCAAUCUGAUGCUUUUCCCUCAAUAGCCUGAAACACUUUGGCUUAAUAUGCCCAACAACUCCACAAUGAUGACACACUGGUAUGAAGGAUCGCUUAGAUACACUAUUUACCUCUGGAAUUUUCCUUGUAGCAGACGAUGAAGCAGUUCUCGUUGCAGUUGCAGUCUUCACUGCACUCUUUCCAUAUGAAGUAGUCCUUGCAUACAUCUUAACUACUGGCUUCAUUGCAGACAUGGAUACACUCUCUGUUUUUCCUUUUUGUGUUUCACCAGGUUUAACACGAGCUUUUCUUGUGCCUUGUUUCUUCUUUCUCUACUUGCAAGUCCUUAUGUAGAACUUCAAUAAGUGCUUCAAGACGUCUAUGCUCUUUUACUAGCACCAUAUUCUCCUUUCCAUGCUUUACUAACGUUCCACACACUUGUUUGUAGCACUCCUCGAGACCAUCAUCUAGUCCUUCAUCAUAUUUUCCCUCCUUUGAUUCAGAUUCUGAUUCAGAUGAUGUACUUGCUUCAUCUUUGUGUGCACCAAAAGCAACUAGGUUGAACACUUCGUCUUUUUCUGAUUUAUUACCAUCUGUCCUUAUUAAGGAUUUCUCUUUCUUCUGCAUCUCAUCGUGUCCAAUUUCUCUCCACCUAAAAGCCUUUGAAUCUUCUUCUCUUAGCCAUAGGACACUCCCUUUUGAAAUUUCCAUAUCCUCUGCAUUUUUAACAUUGCACAUCUUUAUUACCACAUGGCUCGCCAGCUUCUUGCCUUUGUUUGCUCACAUCAACUUUCUCAUGACCUUGCCACUGUAUCACUUCCCGUAGUACUUGGUGAAGCACACAAAUCAUCUUAACCAUCUCAUCUUCAUUCUCUGAUUUUUGACUUGUCUUUUCAGAAAUUGUCAGGUUGACUUCAGUAUGAUUAACCACGCCAUCAAGCUCCAUCUCAUGAGCUUUUAACAUACCCACAACUUCGUGAAAGCUGAAUUUAUCUAUGUCAAGAGACACAAACAUUUAUGCCUUAUAAGCUGUAAAUCUUUCUGGCAGACACCUUAAAACUUCUUCACCAAUUUCUUAUCCUUGUAGUCCACGCCCAGAACACGAGCCUCUUGUGCUAACGCACUGAGUUGAGAACUAAAAUCUGAUAAAGAUUCAUGUUCUUCCAUCUUCAAGUUCUCAAAUUUUGAUUUGAAAAAAUUCAUCCUUGAACUCUUAACCUUCUCAGUUCCUUCAAAGUGUAAUUGCACAAUAUCCCACGCCUCUUUUGCAUUCUUGCAUCCUUGAAUCAGAUCGACUUGCUUCUUUUUGACUGAUGUAAAAAUACCACAUAAAGCUUUUGCAUUAUACCUUGACAUCUCCUUCUCACGCUUUGUCCAUUUAGCCAAUGGUUUGUUGACCACAACACCAUCUUUAUCUAUUGUCUUGGGAACUUCAUAGCCAUCUUCCACUGAUGCCCAAACAUCCAUAUCAACACUUUGUAAGCUUGCCUUCAUCUUCACUUUCCAAUGCCCAUAUUGUUCAGGAUCAAGCAUAAAUUUAGCCACCAUGCUUCCUGCUGUACUCUGUUUUCCCUUCUUUCCUCUUGCCUUCGGGAUCUUCACCAGUGACUUAGGUGAUCCGCUCUGAUACCAAUUGUUAAUGCAAAUGAGACACCACAAUAGUACUGCAUAAAGUAAACCGAGAGACAAACACUACAAGUAAACACUUAUGCUUUAUUAGAAUCACUUUUAAACAAUCUAUCACAAGAUCCGCUUAAUUCAGCUUUUACACAUCUAGUGUUAACAUCCAAACACACGCUACUGAAAGAUUCCUAAGCUACACCGCUUAUGUCUCUCUUCCGUCAAGUACUUCAUCAACUGCUUCGGCACGACCAAGACCACACUCAAGAGCUUUUUCCUCUCAAUAAAAUUAGCCUCUGUGUCUGUGACUAUGCCGACAACCCUCAAAGCUAUUUUAUCAUUAACUCCACGUUCUUCAAUGCAUUUUUUUCCAAGAUACUCCAUUGCUCUCCAAGUCUCCACGACUCCAGUUCAGCAUCUUGACUCCACAUAGUCUUCACCACUCAACAUAUCAUCUGCGUCAGCGACUACUUCAGGGCAGACAUCUUGCAUCUUCAAAUGGAACUUUCAUACUUUCUUGCUUUUCUUUGCUACCACUUUGGUGGGGAUUUAAAGAUAUGGAGGCAUCUUUUCAGCCGUUAUAAGCUAGGUUUUUGAUACUAGGAUAUCUUUCCUUCUUGGUUCUCAUUUUUAGUUAAAAAAACAAUACUUGAAACAAUAUUUGUGUUCUCUCAUUGGUGGUUGAGUUAUACCCAGUUAUUGACUCAUUCGUUCUUUCUUUUCACAGAAAUAAGGUUGGGCGAAUCACCUGACCAAGCGAAAACCAAGAGCUACAAAUAGUUUAAGUUGUCUUGGGAACAUAUCAAGGAUUCUUGAUCAUUUCUUUUUCUGAUACACUUGUUUCAUAUUGAAGCUAGCUCAAGUAUUAACUCCAUCAACAGCAAAGGGCCUGAUGCCGGUUAUCUUAAAAGAGGUUUGUUAUUUUUCCUUGAAGCUUACACUUUCCUUAGCAAUCUUCCUUCCAGCAGUGAGGAUUUUGGGAUAAGAAUAUUAACAUUAGAUGUUUUGUUUUAUUUGCAAGAGAUUCCCUUGCAAUAUAUUUGAUAUCCUCUGAAUUCUUAAGAGUAUCAAUCCUGGUUCCCUUUUUUACAAUGAUUAUAGUGUCCAUCCGAGGAGCCGCAGUCAUUGUUGCUGCAUACCCCUUUUUUUGUUUUUUUUUUAAUUGACAAUGGAUUGUGUUAUGUUUGUUAAGUAUGCCGGAGAAAAUGAUAGCUCAUUUAUGGGGAAAAUGGGCAUUUAAUUCCCAAAGUAUUUGAAAUAGGCAGUUUUAAUACUCAAGUAUUGCUUGCGCAUAUUUAUUCCUCAACUAAUAGUUGACUGCGCAAAAUUGGGAACAAAAUAGUCAACGGUUAACUGAUGAACGGAAAAUAACGGUUUCCGUCAACUUUUUAACGGUAGAAUAUUCUAAUCAUGAUUUUGCGCAGUCAAUGAUUAAUUGGGGAAUAAAUAUGCGCAUAUAAUACUUGAAUAUUUAAUUUUCCGAUUGAAAAUACUUGAGGAAUUAAAAACUCAUUUUUUUCUUUAUAUUUCGUAUAAGAUUGAAAGUCACUAACAUCAAUCCCUUUAAAAAAACACAUAAGUAAAAAUAUUUUCAAGUUAAAUAAAAUCAUUAUACGAGAUAUUUACCUUUAGAAAUAGAUUGUUGAUUUUUUACAAUGACAUAUAAAAUAAUACAAAAUAAUUACAGUUACAUCGUAUUGUUGAUGUACUUCAUGUUUAAAUCACUUUAGAUGAUUUUUAAAAUAAUUCAUAGUUAGAAAGGUUCAUAAUUUGAAAUAAUAUACAAGAUAUUUAAUCCCGGAAAAAGAUUUAUUUAGUUUAUAAAAGCAUAAAAAAAAACAUAAGAUAAUUACAUUUGCAUUGUAUUGGUGAUAUACAAUAUAUGAAUGCGUAAAGUACAUAUAAUUAUAUAUGAUCAUCUAAAGUAGAGAUCCAAUGUACAACAUAUAAUUGUCUAAUAGAUAAAACUCUCGUAUAUUGGUUAUAUCUAACUUGAGAAUAUUUCAAAUUAUGAUUUUCUAAAAAAAAAAGAGUGUGGUUUUUAAUUCCUUAAGUAUUUUUAAUCGGCAAAUUAAAUACUCAAGUAUUAUAUGCGCAUAUUUGUUCUCCAACUAAUCAUUGACUGCGCAAAAUCAUGAUUAAAAUAUUCUACCGUUAAAAAGUUGACGGAAACCGUUAUUUUUUCGUUCAUCAGUUAACAGUUGACUAUUUUGUUCUCAAUUUUGCGCAGUCAACUAUUAGUUGGGGAAUAAGUAUGCGCAAGCAAUACUUGAGUAUUAAAACUGCCGAUUUCAAAUACUUCGGGAAUUAAAUGCUCAUUUUCCCCUCAUUUAUGCGCUAUAUUAGUUUUGAUAUAAUUAAUUAAUUAUGCAUUAAUGUGAAUUUUGCUUUUGAAUUUUUACUAUAUGUCAAAAUGUUCAAAUGUGUAUGGUUUUGCCUUGAGGUUUUGGGCGAUGCAUUCCUUUUUUUUUAAAGGCUGGAUAAUUAUACUAUGCAUUUUUUUUUUAAAGCCUAAUUCCCAGACUUGCGUUAUGAUCGAUAGAAUCCUCGUUUAUCACUGAUUGUUUUAAGAAUUCUGGAAAACAAACUUUCAUAAUGUCUACCUCAAACCCUACAUCUAUUGAUUCUCAGUUCGCAAUUUCCACUUUCUCUAGAAGUAAAACUCGUUCUUCCUCUUCAAAAAUAGAUUCCCUAUACGAAAUCGAGUAUGUUCCGGGCGAUCAACUUCCCGAAACAACCCUUUCCCUAGUAAACCCAUAUGAAUAUUCUACAAAAACGCCUAGCGCCUUUUCCGUUAAAGGCAUUCGCGAUCUCAUAAAACCUUCAUCAAGUCGUAAGGUCAUGGAAUAUGUCCAGUCCAGCAAGUUCUCAUCUUGCCAAGUCCCAGCUACAGAAGAAGAGCAAUUUAUUUCUCUGAACAUCCCGGAGAACCUACCUAGAUUAUGGCAGCAACAAGGCUAUACUCACCUUCACUUUGGCGUAGUAAGAAUUGGUUUAACCUUACAUGCGAGAAAAGGUCUACCAGUUAUUGCUCGAAUAGCUUUGAUCGACUCUCGAUUGAAAUCUUACCAGCAAGCGUGCAUUAGAACGGUUCAAACAACAUUAAAUGCAGGAACAGUAUUCAUAACACUGUUUCCAAACUUUAAUGUUUCAUUGCAAGACCCAAAUCUCUUAAAGACAAUCAAGGUUCAGCUUCAACUAAUCGGAGCACCUAUGCAAGAAAAAAGUGUGGCGGCUACCUUGCAACACCAAAUCAUCUACCGAAUUCAAGACCACGCACUUGAUCUUGUACUACCCUCAUCAGACGAAGCGCUAUAUCUCGAAGUCACAUCUGCGUCCCAGGCACCAAACUCGAUACAAAUCCCUCGACAAAUUUCUUGUGAAGAACUGUUGCGCCGGCUACCAGAGUCAUGGAUAACGAGUUACGAGAAGCUUCAUCAAGCUACCCAGUCGCCUAUACAAUCAUCCGAAGUCAGCUUUCACUCUCGGAAUGAUGGAGCAACCGAGAUCAAAUUCGAGAACCCCGAUCAUCGUCUUUUCGAAGGCAGCUGUUCACUCAAUUCGCGAUACAAAUCGAUGAACGAAGCUUCUACGGCCCAGCGAAAGAACAAAAUCCUAACCAAGUUCUUUUGAAAAAGAUGGAACUGUAAUCUAUCCUUUCAAAGACAAAGACGAACAUUGCUACUUUGAUGUUUGUUCAUGUGCUGCUUGUAAUGAAGCAAGCUACGAAUCUGAUGAAGAUAUUCGCAUACGUCGAAGAAAAGAGAAAGACCCGCUCUACAAAAGAUAUCUCGAGGGAGACACUUCUGUCGGUCCGCUCGGCGAAGGAAAAUACAACUUUAUAGUCCAAUACUCUGACAAAAAGGAAGAACCAAGACAGCAGAUCAUGAUGAUCAAUCCCGACGAGUUCCCACCGCAAGAAGAUUUUUUAAAGAACAACAUCUCACAUUGCCCGAAGAUUCUUUCUCAAGCUGUAGACUCUUCUGGUCCCAACCAGUUAAGUCAAGCGGAAAAAGUCCUCAACUGGCAAACAGAGAAUUCACUUGCGCAAAAUCAACUUUUAUCAAUAAUAAAUCAUAAAGUUGAUCAAUUGGCAGAAGGAUAUAAUAGCAGAUUACUCAGCCUCCAAAAUUCAAUCACUGAGAUACAUGGACGACUGAGCAGUCUCCAUCAAGAAAUGAUGACUAUGGCAAAACAUAUGAUGGCAAACACGACUCAAUUUCACAACAAAAAAGCAGAGAUGACUAGUCUUAAAAGCCAAUUACGAGAUCUCAAAAAGUGCCUAGAAAGUAUGAUUCAUAAUCAGCAGCAAACUAAUACAUACUUUGAUCCCCUCGGAGGCACAUCUUCAGGCAUGCCAAUGUAUCAAGGAUCCUACUCUCCCGGCUUCCUCUUUGGUCAUCAGGCUCAAAAGACAACAUCUCCAUUUCCAAACUUUCUAUCCUCCGAUGAAGUCUGUACAUCUCGUUAUGGAUCGACUUCAACCAACUAUCAUCCCAAGACAACUCGUUCAAAGCCCCGGCGUCAAAAGGAAUCUGAAUUUCAAGUCAACCCCAGUAAGAAACCGACUCUUACAUCUUCCUCUAGUCACGAAUCAGUUGAAGACAGCAAAAGGAAAGGAAAAUACAUUGGAAUAAUUGAAUUUUCGAUGUCCAGCCUACUCGAUAACCUCAGCAAGCUUCCAGCGUCGCCUGAUCAAAAGGAUCAACAACUCUCAUCUUCUCAACAACCCUCAUCUUCUCGACAGAUCACAAAAAUCAGUCACUACUCAGAUAUAAGUUCCAGUGACUACGAAACCGAAUCAAACGAAGGAUCCCUACCAAGACAAUUCGCGAUCGGAGAAGGAUCAAGCACUCCAAAAAAGGAACCAGAUAUCAAUGAAGUAUAUUCCAGUGAUGAAGAAAUGAACUAUGUGCCUCCUAGACAUGAGAUUCCAACUAAGCAAUUUUCUUCAAAGAUUAUGGUGUUCACAUUCGAUGAUAUCCCAUUUGAAAAAUGGAAUGAUCGUCUCGACGAGUUUCAUGCAUGGAUGAAUUCUGAAGCUAUCACAUCCCCUUUACAAAUGGUGAUUCAGCAAUUCACUGCGAGACUAUCUGGAGCACUUAAAGAAUGGUGGAAUUCACUCGGCGAGUAUAGACAACAGCAAGUAUAUCAAACAACAAUACCAUUGCUUCUUGGAGAAAUUCAUUGAGAAUUCAUUGGUACGCCCACACACCAAAAAGAACAGCUACAAGAGGAAUUCUUCUCAGCAAAGUGAUGUUCGUUGAGAAAGAAAGAUCUUGCAAAACACUUUGAAAGACAAACACGGAGAUACUACGCACUAAAUGGCCUUAACAAUCCAAGCCUGAAGCACGUAUACCUCUCCUCCAUCGAUGACUAUCUUAGUCAGCAGACUAAGCUAUACAUCAGAGAUCAAGGACAAACAAUCGAAGAAGUUUCUAUCGGACAAAUACAGCAAUAUGUUUUUAGAACGCUGGACAAACUCUGCAAACAGAAGGAAUUCUGGACGGAGUUCAUGGAUAGAUCGAAGCAGCUAUCAAAGAUAUGUUCCAGACCGGAUCUAUCAAUCAAGUGUUCAAAGUCCAAGAAAUCUUGUUCGUGUAGCCCGCAAGAGAGACGUCGAAAAUUCAAAAAAUGAUUCUCUAAGUGCCCCGACAAAUUCAGACGCAAGAGGUUCUUCCGAAAGAAACGGAGCUUCAAGAAAUCGACGAAAUACUUUCUAUGCCGAAAAGAGGGACACUUCGCGAAAAACUGUCCAAACAAAUCAGCCAAGAAGAAGCAAUACUUGAUCAACUCAAUAUCUGAAAUCGCACCAGAUAUUGAUUUCGAAGGCCACGAUUUAGAAUCGGUUCUAUCUUAUGAUAGUGACGACAACGACGCUAUUUGUGGUUACUCAGAUUACGACAACUCUUCUGAGUCAUCUCCCGACGAAGAUGAUGAUUGUUGCUUCAAAAUAAUAAAAAUGCCACGUCAUGACGAAAUACAGACUCCGCAUUUACCAGUGACGAUCUUCGACCCAUCUUGUCAAGAAGACCCAGUUCACGCCAUUGCAUUCAUUGAUACCAGAGCCCAUACAACGAUUAUAAAUCCCAAGAUUCUUUCUCCGUCAAUGUGGCUACCUCAUCAGCAAGAAUUUCGUGUCGCAAACUCGGGUUCGCUGACUAUAAAGCUCAAAUCAAAACCAAUCAAAAUCAAACUUUUCCCCGGAUGUCACAUCACUACGGAAGUACUUGGCUCUACCGCACCUGGAAAAGAUCUAAUACUAGGAUGGGAUUCUUGGUAUGUCUUCAAGAAAACAUUCGAUAUCUCGAUCGAACCACGCAGAUUAAGAUGGAAAAAUCUCUUCAAAGCCUUCACGACAAUUCCACGACUUUUCGCAAUUGAAGGAUUAGUCUCUCAAUAGUUUACAAAGAUCAAAGAAGAAUUGAUGGAAACAUCAUGUGCAGACCCUCAUACAGAAUUCCUCCAAAAUGCAACAACCCACUAUGGUUAAACUCGGAGUUCUUUGUUUCCUUGCCUUUCAAGGAAAACAUACAAACCACCCCGACAAAAGCGAGUCAUGCAGGAAUGCCGCCAACCCUGCUGCAACAAGCGAAUGAAGAAUGCGACGAGCUAGUAAAACAAGGAGUAGUCUCUACAACCAACUCUCCCUGGGCAUGCAAAGCUUUCUACGUUAAUAAUCGUGCGGAACAAGCAAGAAGGAAGCUCAGACUAGUCAUCGACUAUAAGCCACUGAAUCAGUAUCUACAGGACAUCAAAUUUCCGCUGCCAAACAAAAAAGCGCUUCUUCAACAUCUUCAAGGGGCGACUAUAUUCUCCAAAUUUGAUCUUAAGUCAGGAUUUUGGCAACUUGGUGUUUAUCCUGAAGAAAGAUACAAAACUGCAUUAUGCCUUCCUAAUCGACAUCCUCAGUGGAACGUCUUGCCUUUCGGCCUCAAGACCGCACCAUCAUUAUUCCAGCAAGCGAUGCUUCGUAUAUUCAAGCCUCUGCUCCACACAGCCUUGAUUUAUAUCGAUGUUGGGCUGGGCUAUGACCAUUUUUCGGGCCGCCCUAUAAGAUAUAUGCUUGACGGUACUCCUUGCAUCAUGCUGCAAAAUUUUUGUAAACUUUUUUUUUCUUAAUUCGGAGGGAUGCAUUUUUAAAUCACUUUUUUUUUCUUUUGCAGUUUUUUGCCGGAUAUAAGAGGAAUGUUGCAGAAAGCUUUUAGAGCAUGUUUAUUGGUGACUCUUGGGGUAAUUACAAUAUAAAAGAAAAGAAAAAAAGAAAUAAACACAAGAGGCGUCCCUUAAUUAAGAGAACCAAGGGACAGCUCUUACUAUGCACGUGUCGUUGCUUCCGUCUCUCUCUAUCUCUCUCUCUGUUUCCGCUCGAGAAAAUGAACCCCGCGGCGGAGGCGUGGCCGGUUACGGCGGCGAUCGUCGGCAUAGGGAGGGAGAUGAGGUCGGCGACCAAGGAUCGGAGUUUUGAGUCCAUGAUGUUGUUUUCAACUUCUUUGAUUCUCGUUUCUUCAAUGUCUUCGUCACUGCUGGUAGAAAUAAGAUUACGCUGUACAAUUGUCUUGAAGAUGAUGCCAUAUCUGCAUUGCAAUCCUAUUCUGAUGAGGACUGAUUGUAAGUUUCAGCAAGAAGAGUUGACCACGCUUCUCCAGCGUUAUGGGUGCUCCUCGUCGUGGUGCUUAUUCUUUCCAAGGAGCUGGUCGGACAUCUGGAGCAGGAACUUCCUCACCUCCUGAAAAUGGAACAUCUCUUCCUCCUCGAACUGGAGCCUCUCUGCCUCCUCGAACUCUCUGCCUCAUGGAACGGGAGCCUCCUUGCCUCCUGGAGCCACUGGACAAGCUAAUUCUUUUGAAGAAGUGUAUUCUCAUACUAGCUUAGCUGAGCUAAAGAACGCUUCUGGAAGGCGUAACGUGCCACACUUGCAUCCUCGAACUGGAGCCUCUCUGCCUCCUCGAACUGGAGCCUCUCUUCUUGUUGUCUUGUUUUCUUCUAUCACAGACAUUGGUUAGCACAUGUAUAUUGUAUUGUUGUGGUCACGUUGAAAAUGUUUCAUGAUCAAGAAAUGAAAGACCUUUAUAAUGAUUGUAUGAUCGUGUAUUCACAAACUUGUAUAAAUAAUAUCUUGUAAUGAAAGUGUAUUCACAAGCC